rnacentral:rRNA from 1 species
GACGUAGGGCGCAAGCGUUGUCCGGAGUUACUGGGCGUAAAGGGCGUGUAGGUGGUUUCGUAAGUCUGGCGUGAAAUUUUUCGGCUUAACCGGGAAAGGUCGUCGGAUACUGCGGAACUAGAGGACGGUAGAGGCGUGUGGAAUUCCGGGUGUAGUGGUGAAAUGCGUAGAGAUCCGGAGGAACACCAGUGGCGAAGGCGACACGCUGGGCCGUACCUGACACUGAUGCGCGACAGCAUGGGGAGCAAACAGG